CUUGUGAGUAACACGUGGAUAACCUACCUAUAAGACUGGGAUAACUUCGGGAAACCGGAGCUAAUACCGGAUAAUAUUUUGAACCGCAUGGUUCAAAAGUAAAAGACGGUCUUGCUGUCACUUAUAGAUGGAUCCGCGCUGCAUUAGCUAGUUGGUAAGGUAACGGCUUACCAAGGCAACGAUGCAUAGCCGACCUGAGAGGGUGAUCGGCCACACUGGAACUGAGACACGGUCCAG
rnacentral:rRNA from 1 species